CUGUACCACUCGUACACUGCGGUUCUGAGCGGCGCCGUCCGCGUCCACCUGACAGCUGCUCGCUACGUUUCGUUAGCC
rnacentral:sRNA from 10 species